rnacentral:rRNA from 1 species
UACGUAGGGGGCAAGCGUUAUCCGGAUUUACUGGGUGUAAAGGGAGCGUAGACGGCAUGGCAAGCCGGAUGUGAAAUACCGGGGCUCAACCCCGGGACUGCAUUUGGAACUGUUAAGCUGGAGUGUCGGAGAGGCAGGCGGAAUUCCUAGUGUAGCGGUGAAAUGCGUAGAUAUUAGGAGGAACACCAGUGGCGAAGGCGGCCUGCUGGACGAUAACUGACGUUGAGGCUCGAAAGCGUGGGGAGCAAACAGG